UAUUUUGGGUUGGGUCGAGCUUAGGCAAGCAUAAUGUAUGUUAAUAUCUUGCUUAGGCCCGACCCGACUAGAACUA
rnacentral:pre_miRNA from 1 species